GCUGGGCGUGGUGGCGGGCGCCUGUAGUCCCAGCUACUUGGGAGGCUGAGACAGGAGAAUGGCAUGAACCCGGGAGGCGGAGUUUGCAGUGAGCCGAGAUCGCGGCACUGCACUCCAGCCUGGGCAACAGAGAGAGACUCCGUCUCAAAAAAAAAAAAAAAAGAUGGAGUCUCCCUCUGUCGCCCAAGCUGGAGUGCAAUGGUGUGAUCUCGGCGCACUGCAACCUCCGCCUCCCGGGUUUAAGUGAUUCUCCUGCCUCAG
rfam:Pan troglodytes isolate Yerkes chimp pedigree #C0471 (Clint) chromosome X, whole genome shotgun sequence.